rnacentral:rRNA from 1 species
AACGAACGCUGGCGGCAUGCCUAACACAUGCAAGUCGAACGAGACCUUCGGGUCUAGUGGCGCACGGGUGCGUAACGCGUGGGAACCUGCCCUUAGGUUCGGAAUAACUCCCCGACAGGGGUGCUAAUACCGGAUAAUGUCUUCGGACCAAAGAUUUAUCGCCUUUGGAUGGGCCCGCGUUGGAUUAGCUAGUUGGUAGGGUUAAAGCCUACCAAGGCGACGAUUCAUAGCUGGUCUGAGAGGAUGAUCAGCCACACUGGGACUGAGACACGGCCCAGACUCCUACGGGAGGCAGCAGUGGGGAAUGUUGGACAAUGGGCGAAAGCCUGAUCCAGCAAUGCCGCGUGAGUGAUGAAGGCCUUAAGGUUGUAAAGCUCUUUUACCCAGGAUGAUAAUGACAGUACCGGGAGAAUAAGCUCCGGCUAACUCCGUG